rnacentral:lncRNA from 1 species
CUCUGCUACAAAUAAAUUAAAAACUGAGGGAUAAUUGGUGAUUUCAUUUUCUGUAGAGCACAAUAGAGUAAUAAGAUUAUAGAUAUGUAUAUUGUACAGAUAUUUUGAUGAAUCUGUGAUCUCAUGAGUUAUAUACACAAAAUAGAAUAUAAUAGCAUGCAUCUACUUCCCACUUCCCAAUUUAAAAUGGUAUGAGCCAUUUACAAUCAAAUUGACUCCAAGGUGAUAUUUCUCCCUAGCCAAGUUUCAUAUUAAAAUUUUGCUCAUCCCCAAUUGAGGAAUCAGUGAAAAUUCUUUGAUUACCCUCCUUAGCCAGGACUGCCAUCUGAAGUUACAACCACCCAAAGUGGCAGUUACCAAUUGUCCUAGUAAGAAUGCUAGACUGCAGAAUAAAUAACCCUCCCUCUGGGAAUGGACACUGAGGGGCCGGGGAGGGGUCAUCAAGGUACCAGUGCAAUUGAAAGUAUGCAGAGUGGAGUGACUCCCCGAAUCCCAGGAAAAGGAAGAGUUAAUCCCUUAAAUUUGUCCUGCAGCCUGCCCCCUCAGCUCUCCCAUCUCAAUUGCUUUAGCCAUUUGGACAUUUCCAGGGCUCCAGCUGUAAGAACCUUGGGCCUCUUCAUUGAUGAUAACUUCCCCUCCCCCUCAUCACUCUCCUGAGUUAAAAGAAACUGUACUGCCUGUCUCUCUUUUUCCCUUUCCCUUCCCUAUCACUAAAACAGUUUGUAAGGCGUUAUUUGGGCAAAAGAGCAGUCUGGGGGUGGGUAUCGCCCCCUUCUCCCAAUGUUCCGGAGUCCUCUGACUUGAAGGCCUUCACCCUACAGGUGUAGCGCACCAGCUCCUUGAGGUGUGGUGCGUAUCUCUCACCUCUCGCCACGGGCACUGAGCAUGCCCAGCUUGGCUGCGAGAGGGGUCCCCCCCAGAGGAGCUGCCAGCCAAUACUCCAUCGCUCCAGGUUUUAUGAACAACCGAGAGGGGGGAGGAGGAACGGGAGCAGGGAGCCGGGCAGAGCAACGGGUUCAACACAGGGAUUGGUCGCAAGUAGGAAGCUUUUCCACUACACCAGGUCUCAGGGAAUCUGUCUGCGGUCCCGAGGCUCCCACCGAGCCCCUAGCAAAGAUUCAACUAUGUGGCUAUGCUUUGUGCCUGCAUUCCAUAAGGCAUUGAUCUCAAGGUCAACAAUGUUGAUGGGGUUGAUUGGACAAGGAAACCCUAAGCAACAUCUACUCUGUUCUACUGAAUCUCAUAAUAACAAGUUUCAAUAGAG